ACAAAGCAAUGAUUAUGACGACAUUAUGUCACUUUCCUGAAAACGACUGAUGGUUUUUAAGUCACUACCUCAUCUGAGCUUGC
rnacentral:snoRNA from 1 species